AUGGGUGGUGUAAACCGUAGGGUGUCCAUUGGUGGAGCCACGAUGCAAGCAUCCAAAACAGACAUAUUGUAUACGAAGAAUGUUCAUGCUGCCAAGAGAAGUGAAGACAUUGCCCAUUUGUCCCCUGGGAAUGCCAAGAUAUUCGCCAAACAAAGCCAUAGGAUGGUGCUAUACACAGAGGACAACCUAUCAGGUUACAAUGGUCAUGGAGCUUCUUGGAUUAAACUUGCAAAGAGUAGUACUGGAAAGCUUCAUUUUCGUAAGAUGCUCUGGUAUUUCCGAGUAGAAGAAAGCAAAGCCAACAAGGGUCGUUAG
rnacentral:rRNA from 1 species